rnacentral:tRNA from 1 species
GGAGAGGUGGGAGAGUGGCUGAAUCCAACGGUUUGCUAAACCGUCGUACCUUUAACGGGUACCGCGAGUUCGAAUCUCGCCCUCUCCG